rnacentral:lncRNA from 1 species
UUGCUGCGAUCGAUCCUUCGGCGGAGCGUGGCGGUGAUCUGGUAGCCCACUAACCCUUAGAGGCCUGGUGCCGGAGCGAAUGUACGUAGUACCUAAUUCAACCAACAAGGAAAUUGAAGGGACGCAAUGUAAAUACGUAUGUAUUUACCCUACCGUAGCUCAAUGCUUUCAGUUUUUUUUCCCCCGACUCUGCGUUUCUACCUUCUUUGUAUGUUUCAGCCUUCAGCCUCCCGGUCUGACCUCGCGCUGUCAAGUUUUACGGUUUACAGAGUUUCCGUCUUGUCAACGGUCAACACUAGCACUAAGAAGCAUAGGUACGCACUUAAAAAAAGUGUCUUGCGGCUUGCCGGAGCGUUCCGCCGCUUCCUCGUACUACUACUCUGUAGUAAGUCGUAAGUACGCACUACGACGCCUCCAUCCCACGGCCGGUGGCCAACUCUGUACAACGGUACGACCAUGUCCUGCCCAAAGCGUCCCUGAUAAGACUUAAUCUUUCGAUUUAAUCAUUCCACGAAGGAAUCGAAUCUACGUAAUGCUUCCUGACAGCUUGGCAUGAUUGGACCCGAACUCCUGGGAAACGAUGGGAGCGACUCUUCGAGUUCGAGUGGCGCCUCUCAACGCUGCAUUGCUGGGCCGGGGUUGGGUGUCCCUGUACUCCGGACUGUGUCGUGUUGUGACGCAUUGGCCUGGCCAUUCAACAGCCACGAGGGUUGCGUGGGUGCAGGAUCCCUAUCCUAGGGACGAUCAGGUUCGAGUUUCGUCUCAGGAAUAGGUAGUACGUACUCUGUACGGGAGUAUGUAGAGAGUAAAUCAACACCACACCAAGAGCAAGAUGAUUAUGAAAGGGAUGGGCGGGCUAUUUGGCAAUAGUGUAUUUACGACAGCCCAUCCAUAUGACAAUGCUCAACCUUGCAUGAAUGUUGAUUAUUGAAGCUUCAACUCAUACUACGUACGUAGCACGUAGAUAAGAUGGAAUCUGUAAAUACUGAAAUCAAUCGAUCGAGCAUCCACAUUCCGUCCUCCGUCCUCCCUUCGCAAGACAAAUAUAUCGCAUAUCUCGCUUCUUACGCACAGGUUUCGAUCCGAUUGAAGAAUGCUGAC